rnacentral:rRNA from 1 species
AACGUAGGUGGCGAGCGUUAUCCGGAUUUACUGGGCGUAAAGCAUGUGCAGCCGGAUUGGUAAGUGGUGUAUGAAAGCGUCCGGCUUAACCGGGCAAGGGUAUGCCAGACUGCCAGUCUUGAGAGUGGGAGAGGGAUGUGGAAUUCCGGGUGUAGUGGUGAAAUGCGUAGAGAUCCGGAGGAACCCCAGAGGCGAAGGCGGCGUCCUGGACCAAUACUGACACUGAGGAGCGAAAGCCAGGGGAGCAAACGGG